AGGGUUCGAUCCUGGCUCAGGAUGAACGCUGGCGGCAUGCCUAAUACAUGCAAGUCGAACGAGAGGAAGAAAAGCUUGCUUUUCUGAAUCUAGUGGCGAACGGGUGAGUAACACGUAGGUAACCUGCCCAUGUGCCCGGGAUAACUUCUGGAAACGGAUGCUAAAACCGGAUAGGUAGCAGACAAGCAUUUGACUGCUAUUAAAGUGGCUAAGGCCAUGAACAUGGAUGGACCUGCGGUGCAUUAGCUAGUUGGUGAGGUAACGGCCCACCAAGGCGACGAUGCAUAGCCGGCCUGAGAGGGCGGACGGCCACAUUGGGACUGAGACACGGCCCAA
rnacentral:rRNA from 1 species